rnacentral:rRNA from 1 species
UAGGGAAUAUUAGAAAUGGACGAAAGUCUGAUCUAGCAACACCGCGUGUGCGAAGAAGGCCUUCGGGUUGUAAAGCCCUUUUUGGAAGGAUUAGGAAGGAAUGUACUUCCAGAAUAAGUCUCGGCUAACUACGUGCCAGCAGCCGCGGUAACACGUAGGAGGCAAACGUUAUCCGGAUUUACUGGGCGUAAAGCGCGUGUAGGUGGUUUUGUAAGUAGGGCGUGAAAGCUCCUGGCUCAACUGGGGAAGGCCGUUCUAAACUGCAGGGCUAGAGGAUGGUAGAGGGAGGUGGAAUUCCGGGUGGAGCGGUGGAAUGCGCAGAUAUCCGGAGGAACACCAGUGGCGAAAGCGGCCUCCUGGACCAUUCCUGACACUCAGACGCGAAAGCUAGGGUAGCAAACG